rnacentral:rRNA from 1 species
ACGGAAGGCAGCAGUGGGGAAUAUUGCACAAUGGGGGAAACCCUGAUGCAGCGACGCCGCGUGAGUGAAGAAGUAUUUCGGUAUGUAAAGCUCUAUCAGCAGGAAAGAAAAUGACGGUACCUGACUACGAAGCCCCGGCUAACUACGUGCCAGCAGCCGCGGUAAUACGUAGGGGGCAAGCGUUAUCCGGAUUUACUGGGUGUAAAGGGAGCGUAGACGGCUUUGCAAGUCUGAAGUGAAAGCCCGGGGCUCAACCCCGGAACUGCUUUGGAAACUGUAGAGCUAGAGUGCAGGAGAGGUAAGUGGAAUUCCUAGUGUAGCGGUGAAAUGCGUAGAUAUUAGGAGGAACACCAGUGGCGAAGGCGGCUUACUGGACUGUAACUGACGUUGAGGCUCGAAGGCGUGGGGAGCAAACAGGAUUAGAUACCCUGGUA